GCCGAGGUGGCGGAAUGGCAGACGCGCUGCGUUCAGGGCGCAGUGUCCUUACGGAUGUGUGGGUUCAAAUCCCUCCCUCGGCACCA
rnacentral:tRNA from 1 species